UGGGGAAUAUUGGACAAUGGGGGCAACUCUGAUCCAGCCAUGCCGCGUGAGUGAUGAAGGCCUUAGGGUUGUAAAGCUCUUUUAUCCGGGACGAUAAUGACGGUACCGGAAGAAUAAGCCCCGGCUAACUUCGUGCCAGCAGCCGCGGUAAUACGAAGGGGGCUAGCGUUGCUCGGAAUCACUGGGCGUAAAGGGCGCGUAGGCGGACGUUUAAGUCGGGGGUGAAAUCCCGGGGCUCAACCCCGGAAUUGCCUUCGAUACUGGGCGUCUCGAGACCGGAAGAGGUAAGUGGAACUGCGAGUGUAGAGGUGAAAUUCGUAGAUAUUCGCAAGAACACCAGUGGCGAAGGCGGCUUACUGGUCCGGAUCUGACGCUGAGGCGCGAAAGCGUGGGGAGCAAA
rnacentral:rRNA from 1 species